rnacentral:rRNA from 1 species
UACGGAGGAUGCAAGCGUUAUCCGGAAUGAUUGGGCGUAAAGGGUCCGCAGGUGGCAAUGUAAGUCUGCUGUUAAAGAGUCUAGCUCAACUAGAUAAAGGCGGUGGAAACUACAUAGCUAGAGUACGUUCGGGGCAGAAGGAAUUCCUGGUGUAGCGGUGAAAUGCGUAGAUAUCAGGAAGAACACCGGUGGCGAAAGCGUUCUGCUAGGCCGUAACUGACACUGAGGGACGAAAGCUAGGGGAGCGAAU